UCGGUGGGGUAACCCGCAAGGGAGCCAGCCGCCGAAGGUGGGGUAGAUGAUUGGGGUGAAGUCGUAACAAGGUAGCCGUAUCGGAAGGUGCGGCUGGAUCACCUCCUUUCUAUGGAGA
rnacentral:rRNA from 4 species